rnacentral:rRNA from 1 species
GACGAACGCUGGCGGCGUGCUUAACACAUGCAAGUCGAACGGAAAGGCCCUGCUUGCAGGGUACUCGAGUGGCGAACGGGUGAGUAACACGUGGGUGAUCUGCCCUGCACUUCGGGAUAAGCCUGGGAAACUGGGUCUAAUACCGGAUAGGAGCCAUUUUUAGUGUGAUGGUUGGAAAGUUUUUUCGGUGUAGGAUGAGCUCGCGGCCUAUCAGCUUGUUGGUGGGGUAAUGGCCUACCAAGGCGGCGACGGGUAGCCGGACUGAGAGGGUGGACGGCCACAGUGGGACUGAGAGACGGCCCAGACUCCUACGGGAGGCAGCAGUGGGGAAUAUUGCACAAUGGGCGCAAGCCUGAUGCAGCGACGCCGCGUGGGGGAUGACGGCCUUCGGGUUGUAAACUCCUUUCGCUAGGGACGAAGCUUUUUGUGACGGUACCUAGAUAAGAAGCACCGGCUAACUACGUG